rnacentral:lncRNA from 1 species
CAGGCGAAGAACAAAUGAAGCACCCGAGCCGGGCGGGCAGUGCUCGUCCAGAGGUACUUACGCAAAUCGUUAGCGCGUUAAUGACUGCGCCAGCAGCCGCUGCAGGUGGCCGGGCAGCAAUAAGGAAGACCCCGGGCGCGCGGAGGACGUUCAUUUAGUGCCGGAUUAAAUAAAAGAGUAAUAGGCAACAUCCGCGGGCAGCGGGACGAGUCGUGCCUCGCUCACCUCCGUGCUGGCCGGGCUGCGGCUGCAAGAGGGGAUUUCUGCCACCCAGCACCAUCCAGCCCCUCGCGGGGCCGGGGGUGGCCCCCAAGUGACAGUGGAGCUGAGGUCUCGCUGCUGGCACCAGCACUUAGCGGCCCACAAGUACACAAGCUCCCAGCGAUCUGGAAACGCGGAGGGCUGCACGUGUCCCCUGCAAGGCGAAGCCUCGUCCCCCCACCACCGAGGUCCCCGGCAGGGCAGGCUGUCGGCGAGGGGUGGCUCCGGUGACAGCGGUGACCUCGGCGCUGGGUGGCCCGUGGCAGGGCGCAGGAGCGAGCUGGGGUCACUCGAGAGGAUGCUCGGGAUGAGUGGUAAGAGGGGGGGAGUGGUCCUGAUGGGUGCAUCUCUGCACAGCAUGUCCUGUGUCCCAUGUCCCCUGUCCCCAUGUCCCAUGUUCCAAGUCCUCAGCAGCUGCAUUCCCUCCUGCGGUGGGUGCAAGAGGUCCCUGGAGCAGGGGAGGGGGCAGCAAGGUGGAGAAAGCCCCCCCGGGUAUGACUGAGUCCUGGGGGGACAGGCUUGGGGUCCCGGCUUGGUGGGCAGGGGUGGCUUGGGAGCAUAUCUGGCAGGGAAAAAUGUGAUGAAAGGGAUAAGUGGGACCCGAACGGACACGACAGCCUUAGCGCUGCCACGCCAGCCAGACAGCCCCGGCAGCUGACAACUCGUUUCUAGACAAAGGCAGCACGGGAGAUGUAAUCUGCCCCAGCCUCGACAAAGCCCUGUCUGACAGGGGAGGACAGGAGCAAAGCCACGGGG